AAAAAGAAAGAUCAGGUUGUUCAAAUCACUGAUAUGCUAAUUUUAUAACUUAGAGGUAAAAUUGAGGAGUGAUCUUAGAGAUGGUAUUGGGGAAUAUUGAAUGCUAGGACUUAGAAGUGGAAUUGUACUCCAUUAUUGAAUUCUAUGCCUUAGAUUGUCUCACAAAGCCAGCAUUGUUUGUGGCCCCCCUGAGGUUGGAUACCUUUGGGGUUAGGGCUACAUUCUUCUUAGGAGCUAUACCACAUCAAAUGGAUGUGUUCUACAGCAGUGAUCACCAAAGCAAGGGGGAGCAGAGAUAAUUGAGUCAAACCAAAGUGAUGAGUUAAAUGAGCCUGAUGAGUUCUCAGUAUGCUGUCUGU